AGGGAAUAUUGGACAAUGGGGGCAACCCUGAUCCAGCAAUGCCGCGUGAGUGAUGAAGGCCUUAGGGUUGUAAAGCUCUUUUACCCGGGAUGAUAAUGACAGUACCGGGAGAAUAAGCCCCGGCUAACUCCGUGCCAGCAGCCGCGGUAAUACGGGGGGGGCAAGCGUUGUUCGGAAUUACUGGGCGUAAAGGGCUCGUAGGCGGCCAACUAAGUCAGACGUGAAAUCCCCAGGCUUAACCUGGGAACUGCGUCUGAUACUGGAUGGCUUGAAUUCGGGAGAGGGAUGCAGAAUUCCAGGUGUAGCGGUGAAAUGUGUAGAUAUCUGGAGGAAUACCGGUGGCGAAGGCGGCAUCCUGGACCGACAUUGACGCUGAGGAGCGAAAGCUAGGGGAGCAAA
rnacentral:rRNA from 1 species